rnacentral:misc_RNA from 1 species
AGCUCGAUCGGGAGGAGCAAGAUCAAGAAGAACAAGUACCCAAAAUGCAGGAUCCGCCAAAUCCAAACAAAAACCCUAAUAUUAAAACGAACCCAACUUCUGAAACCCAAACUUUUCCUCAUGGACAAGGAUAUCCAUUUUCUUUCCGGACCUCUUGUCACCGUCGGGCCCACUCAGAGGUCCAUUUUCGUCUGCCGGAAGACCUGGAUCUCGUCCCAGACCCAUUCGAAGGCCCAUCUGGAAGCUCGUUCGACGAGCUUGGAUCCGAAGAUGAUCUCUUCUCUGCCUACAUGGAUAUUGAAAAGCUUGAAUCCAGAACCGAUGAAGGCCCCUCUGGUAUCAAACCUGACAAUGCGGUUCAUGGGUUGAGUGGCGGCGGCGGCGGUGGCGGUGAGGUGGAGGGAGAUAAGAAUGUGCGGCCAAGGCAUAGGUAUAGCAAUUCUGUUGAUGGGUCUUCGGUUAUGGAGUCUAUAGAGGCCAAGAAAGCUAUGGCUCCUGGUAAACUUGCUGAGCUGUGGACUGUAGAUCCAAAACGAGCCAAAAGG